UCUUAUGGAUGAGCAAAGAAAGUGGUUUCCUAAGAUGGCACCUAUUUCUAGUGAAGAUGCCAUGAA
rnacentral:pre_miRNA from 1 species